AUUGAACGCUGGCGGCAUGCUUUACACAUGCAAGUCGAACGGUAACAGGGAGCUUGCUCCGCUGACGAGUGGCGAACGGGUGAGUAAUGCGUCGGAACGUGCCGAGCAGUGGGGGAUAACGAAUCGAAAGGUGUGCUAAUACCGCAUACGAACCGAGGUUGAAAGUGGGGGACCUACGGGCCUCACGCUUUUCGAGCGGCCGACGUCUGAUUAGCUAGUUGGUGAGGUAAAGGCUCACCAAGGCGACGAUCAGUAGCGGGUCUGAGAGGAUGAUACGACACACUGGAACUGAGACACGGUCCAGACUCCUACGGGAGGCAGCAGUGGGGAAUAUUGGACAAUGGGCGCAAGCCUGAUCCAGCCAUGCCGCGUGUGUGAAGAAGGCCUUCGGGUUGUAAAGCACUUUCAGCGAGGAGGAAGGGUGGUGUGUUAAUAGCACAUCGUUUUGACGUUACUCGCAGAAGAAGCACCGGCUAACUCUGUGCCAGCCGCCGCGGUAA
rnacentral:rRNA from 1 species